GACGAACGCUGGCGGCGUGCUUAACACAUGCAAGUCGAACGCUGAAGCUCAGCUUUUGUUGGGUGGAUGAGUGGCGAACGGGUGAGUAACACGUGAGUAACCUGCCCCCUUCUUUGGGAUAACGCCCGGAAACGGGUGCUAAUACUGGAUAUUCACUGGUCUUCGCAUGGGGGUUGGUGGAAAGGGUUUUUCUGGUGGGGGAUGGGCUCGCGGCCUAUCAGCUUGUUGGUGGGGUGAUGGCCUACCAAGGCUUUGACGGGUAGCCGGCCUGAGAGGGCGACCGGUCACAUUGGGACUGAGAUACGGCCCAGACUCCUACGGGAGGCAGCAGUGGGGAAUAUUGCACAAUGGGCGCAAGCCUGAUGCAGCGACGCCGCGUGAGGGAUGGAGGCCUUCGGGUUGUGAACCUCUUUCGCUCAUGGUCAAGCCGCAACAAUGGUUGUGGUGAGGGUAGUGGGUAAAGAAGCGCCGGCUAACUACGU
rnacentral:rRNA from 1 species